rnacentral:rRNA from 1 species
UACGAAGGGGGCUAGCGUUGUUCGGAAUUACUGGGCGUAAAGCGCACGUAGGCGGACUAUUAAGUCAGGGGCGAAAUCCCGGGGCUCAACCCCGGAACUGCCUUUGAUACUGGUAGUCUCGAGUCCGGAAGAGGUGAGUGGAAUUCCAGGUGUAGCGGUGAAAUGCGUAGAUAUCUGGAGGAACACCGGUGGCGAAGGCGGCAUCCUGGACCGGCAUUGACGCUGAGGCGCGAAAGCUAGGGGAGCAAACGGG